CCGGUUGUUCGCGGCGCCGGCGUCGAACUUGGAUAUGUUCCGUCAGACUCUUAUAUACAGCAUCAAACAUACAUGGGACGAACAUGGAAGAACUCCAUCCAUGUCAUUCAGCUAGAAGCAGGGUCUUACGAAAAGACAAACCUUUCUGAAUAUUUAUACGUAUUGACUAUAUUUAGCUUUGGAGAAAGACAUAAAGGAACGUAUAUUUUAAAUUGCAAUUCUGUUAGCAACACGAAUUCUGUGCAGCUUCACACCCAAGAGCGACCUAGUUACCCAGUUAUCAGUGGUCCAAAAAUUAACACAACAGAAUGCAUUUCUGUUUAUGUAGGUUCCGUUAUUUCUUGCAAAACUAACAAUGGAACGGAAGUCGUUCAAGUAAUGCUAUCAAAGCUCCGGCAAAAGAAAUCCAUGUUGACAAAGUAUUAUUAGCUUUUAAAUGAUUGUGUUUCAAUUCCAAAGACAGGUCACCCGCCAAUUCUAACCGUGCCUGAAUUCUAUGAUGGAGAAAAUUCGACAACAAUAUAUGAAGUGCGCAAUGCUAUCCCCGCUCCGAAAAUAUAAAUUCACGUUGUCAAAGUAUAACAAGCUGAUGCUCAACAAACCGAUUGAUUUAAUGAAUCAUCUCAUUCGUUUACAAGUUUAGCAAAGGUGACAAAGGCUAACACAUUAAUAUGAAAUAUCCACCGUCGCACCUUUCGAUGUUCGUUGACAAAAUACACGAAUAUAACAACAAUGUUCAUGUCUAUUUAUUAGACAUGUCUUAUAAAACAAAUGAAUCAAAACCGCCUUGCACAAUUGAAUGGUCA